GGUUGGCUUUCCCUCUUCGCUUUCUUCGUGGCGAUUCGCGUGAAGUAGAGCUUCGAACGAGCUGCUAGCCAUUUUCUGUCGAGGGUUUGCUUUUCCUCUUCUGCAUUUAUUCGUUGUCAUGAAGUAGAGUUCCGAAAGAUUCGAAGCUUCUCCGCUCCUCCUCCUCCUCCUCCUCCUCCGACGUUGUUCCUGUUGGACCGGAAGUCGCGCCGGGAGCUUGCCGCGGAGGAUUUAGCUCAAAUCUUGCCUAUAUUCUGGCCUAAAUCCUGCAUCCAAACAGGCCCUCAGUUUGACAACUCUCUAUCAUCCUUUCGCUUUUGGAAACCCGAUGCUUCUGCGGCGGGCUUCAUCUCUGGGAGGAUAAGUCAUCAACCCACCAUGUUCGAAGGGGUAGUUAGCCAGGUGCUUGCAGGCUACCUUGGCCGCUAUGUGAAGGGAAUCCAAAAGGAGCAGCUCAAGGUUGGCUUAUGGAACGAGGAAAUUUUGCUGGAGAAAGUAGAGUUGAUUCUUGAAGCUUUUGACUAUCUUCAACUUCCUUUUUCUCUUAAAAAUGGUAUUUACUCUGACUAGUUCCUUAUGUAGCCUUUUGAAUU